GUUGGCGUUUUCCUUGUUGCUCUUGUAAAUAUAAUUUCGAUUUGAAUAGUCACGAUGUGUUAGCUGAACAUGUAUGUUGCCAGCAACAUCUCUACGUUAGAUUUUCUGUAUUGAGUACACAUCUAACAUCAUUAGAAAAUGGAGUUUUCGUGGAUUCGUUCUGCCUUCAGUGACCUUAAGACGGUGAUAGAUCGUUUUCAAAAGCAGUGUCAUCGCCACUUUUCGAAUAUUCGUGAAAAAUUAAAAUCUAUGUUGACAUGGAGAUAGUGGAACGUUCUCACAAUUGAUCUCUUAAUAAUUUGAUGAUGGAGAUCACACUGCGACCUGUGUUCGGACCAACAUGGAAUGCUGGUACAGAAAAACGUGUUACCAUCACAAAAACCGCAGUUGCUGCAAUCGUUAUUGAACCGGAAAUCUCUAAUCCUCGCUGUUUGCUCGGCGUUGCCCGCUAUGUAAAUACGAUAUCUCUAUAUCACAUAUCGACAUUUUGUUUAAACGUAAACUGUUUUUGUUUCUAAACGUACUUCCACAAAUGUAACCUAGAUACAGUGUUGCGGAAAUGCAUGUGUGUUGAAACCGGAACGAUAAAUCGUGACCGGUUCACUUUAUCAAUUAGUUUGGUCUGAUGUUCAUUAGUACAGAUAUUCAAACCACCACUUAAAUUCUCAGUUAUUUUACAUGAAUACACAUACAAUGUAUAUAUGCUUCACUAUGCAUUGUGUAGCAUGAUGCAUUUUACAUGUUUAAUCUUUUACGUAAAGGUAAAUUAAAAUAACUUGUACAAUAUUUCGAGUAAUAGUCUUUUUUUUUUUUUUUUCGUCUGAGACAACAGUCCAGAUUGGUUUGAAAAAUUUCUUACCCACAUUUUGAAUUUUUCGUCGACCAUUUCGAAGCUGGUUAAGAAAUUUUUUUAAAAUUUUCAUUUUAGCAGUUAUGGUUUUCUCUUACAAACCUUGAUUUUGAUGCUAGAUAAAAGAUUUUAAACUGUAAUGUAAAAAGAUUUUAAACUGAAAUGUGAAUAAAACUAUCGUCAAUAUCUUAAA